CAGGCAGUACGCACACACACUGGUCAUGUGUCCUUUUCAAGAGCUGCCCAUUUGGGAGACAGUCUCACCCACCUCAAAGGUCCUUUUGCAGAGCCAGGGCCUGCAGCUCCUCCAGGUCUGGGGUGGCCUCAAGGUGGAAGGUACUCUCCCUGCUGCAGCUCCUCUAAGGGCUGGGCCUCUUACUUGUCUUCACUGAGGAUGAUGCCUACACACUCCAGAGCUUCAUAAAUGCAGGUUCUCAUGAACUGAUCCACUCAGUGGAUGCCUUCCCAGGAGAUCCAUGCGGAGUGAGGGACCAGGACUAAAGGGUUUCGUGGGCACUCCCUAGGUAUUACUGCUGUGAAUAAGCAUAGACCAUUGUGACUCACUGGCAUCGAAGAGGGCAUAGGGCACAUGGGACGGGAUGCCUAGCAGAUGUCAGAAGCGGUUCAACCAUGCAGGGCAGCACAUUGUUGUCUGUAACUUAGAGAUGCUGCUGUGUCCAGUGGAGAGAGACCCAGGACAGCAGAGGUUCAUGAACAGCCAGCAGACACUCCCCACCAGCACCCCUACUGUUUGGCAGGGCUGUGAUUACUCCAAACUUUGAAUCCCUGGGCACUAAGGGAUUGGGGAUCUAAUACCCUGCAAAGCAAGUUGAAGUCUGGGCUAUCACUAGUGAGAUCUGAACCAGUAUAUCCCGUGGUCAGACAGGCAGCAUUGCAUUUGCUGUCUCCCUUUGCUGAAGGAUUGAUGCCCUAUGACGGGAAAUGGGAGCAACAGGACACCUAGAUGAAGCAGCAAACACAAUGCUGGAUGUUGCCAAGCACACAGGUGUACCCCAGAACCUCCUGCACUUGGGAGCUUACAGGACCCAGAGAGAAAAUGGUGCCAGGGAAUGCCCACAAGUCCACAUCUGAAGCAGCGAGACCCGCUGGGCCAUCCGAGGGCUAGCUCUGGCUGAGAAUUAAGGAAGUAUCAAUAAGCUGGUCACUGGACUCAGUUGUGGAAUGGGAGUGUGAAGGUGGGUGGUGUGGUCUAGGGGCCCACAUGGAAGACCUGGAGGGGUACUGGGAUCCAGGAGACUGAGACAACAUGGAGCUGGGGAGAGAACCAAGGAAACAACCCAGAGAGAACAGUGAAGCCAGACAGUAUUCUCCUUCUGGAAUCUUCUCCAACUGUAGAUGAGAAGCAGUCUACCUCCCCCCGCCCCACCCCACUGAAAGCCUGGUUCCCUGUAACCCUCAAAGCCCUGGAAUUGGUACCAUAAUAAAACCAAAAGGAGAGCUGGCCCUGCAGAAAGUAUUAAUAGUUCAUCCCUGGAUUUGAGGAGCCUGCCCAGGCAGGAAACAGGCUGGGAAAUUCCCUUCAUUCUGCCCAGGAGAUGGCUAAUUGCAGAAAAAUCCUGCCAAAGGCAGAGUCUGCAAGCCUUUCUCCAGAACUGGGACACCACUGCUUCCCUUCCCACCACAGCCUGCCCCAGCCUGCACCCCGGGUGGUGCUAUCUACAAGGUGCAGGUAGGGAAGCCAGCAGGGAAGAAAUUAGCCUUCUCCUUUUUAAAAAUCAUUUUAAAAGUGGCAAUAUCUGCUGUGGAGUGUGGUAGUACCACUUUUUAAGUGAUUCAUAAAAAGGGAAAUGCUAAUUUGUACUUGAGUCCUAGUGUGGUCAAGAAGGGACCAUGUACCAUGGGAUGGGCCACUUUCUAAAAGUCCCUACCCCUCGGGGAAUGAGGAACAGAGCUGAAGUAGGCUAGAGUAAGGAUUUUACCUGUCCACUGCCAGCAAAGGACCUGUCA
rnacentral:lncRNA from 1 species